GGCUACUCAGGGAUCUCUGGAACUGCAUGUUUGCAUGGGACUGCUCCAGACUGCCUGGAUUCCACACACCCCUGCAAUAUAAACAUUAGUUAAACAGAAUAAUGGAUUACUAAUUGUCACUGAGGCCACCAUACAUAUUGAUCUGGAAUCCACCUACAUUUAAGGACAGCGCAAGAAAACACUGGAAUUUUUUUGGUCUUCUAACAAAGAAGCAUUAGAUGGGUGAAAUAUAUUUUAGCCUCAUAACAUAUUCAUUGCAAAUGUGGGGUCCCACUGAAUCCCUCCCAAAAUCACCAGGAAAGCUCUUUAAGAGAAGCAGAGCCCAGUCCUUGGUGAGGCAGUGGCCUCCACAACUGUAUCAGAAACCAGAUUUCAGCCUUGUUCUCAAACCCAACUUCUGUUGAUGCUGAUGGAAUUUUGGCCAGAGCAAAGAUCACAGUGUUUGUCCUGCAACUUGCACAGCUAGCUUGAAGGUUUUCUUCUUCCUGCCAUCCAAAGCUUCUUGGGAUUAGUCAGGACUGAUAUUGAUGUAUGAACAUCUUAAAAGGACUGUACAUAGCUCCCAGGCUGAAGACUAAACAUUGCUGCGUAAAACAGAAUUUGGCAGUGAUUCUAUAGGAUGAACCUAAUCAGAGCCGACAGAUUAUAAUACAUGGUAAAGGCAUGGAGUUGAAAAGAAAAAAGGACUUGCUCUGCAGCAUUGCAUAAUACAUUCUGGAGAAACUAGAAAACCUUUCAGAGCAGCUGGGACAGAGGGAAAUGUACCAUUUGUUCCCAAGUGAAAUAAACAAAAGAAGGAAAUGCUCCAAACUGCCUCCAAACUAGGAAAGGAAUGGUGGUGAGAAAAGUGACCAGAGCCUGAACCAAGCUAUUCACAUUGUCCAGCUCCUGACAGUAGCUCUGUUUCAAGUGCACAGGCCCAGGUCUCCUCACCCCCUGGUCAGUCCUGGUGAGCCACAGACCUCUGCAAGGGAAUGCAGCCUUUGGCAGACGUCACUGGAUGCCUGCAGUGUAGCACCAGCCAACACAGCUGCUCUGGUUUUGAGUCCUGGAAUGUCAUCUGAUGAAGGAAAGAAUCAAAGCAGCCCCUUCUUGCUCCAUAUCACCUGCACUGCUCUGGACGUGACCAAGAAGACAUUCCAGGCACCUGAGAUGAGUUUGGCUGAGAAAGAUGACAACCAACUCCAUGAAGAAAGAGAGCACAAAACUGACUCCUGGUACCUGCUUGACAAGAGUGUGAAUUCUUCACAUCAUUCCUCUCCUUUUAAGACUUAAAGUUAGGGACCAUUCUGACAUUUUGAUUCAUGUAAGAAAACUGCUAACUUGAACUCCAGAACCUGAAAGAAAGCCAGCAACCAUCUUGUCCAGGCUUGUUGCCUUUAUAGAACAUCUCUCAAUAUUUUAUAUUUCUGACUUAAUGCCAGAACUCCUUUCCCCUUCAAAACAGAACCAAAACAAGGUUCUUGUUUCAGUAAUAGCAAUGUGAGUUAGUCUGAAACUCUAAUCAUGUUGCCUUUCUGGGGAAAUCUUACUGAAAACUUAGGAGAUAAAUUGUCCAUUCUUUUAUAAAGCCUUGUAUUCAGAGCCAGUGAAUUGAGGCAGAGGGACAAUUGUGGCAAUUGACACAUGGAUCCUGAUUCUCAUUUAUUCAGUCCCCUUCUCAGUGCAGACUGGAAAAGCUCAGUUCUCAAGAUGAGCAGCUAAACCACUGGGCAUGCCCUGAGGGACACACCUGGAGCUCUUGAGAGUGACUGUGUGCAAUAACACCACCUAAUCUCUCUUGGAAAUGGACUCAACUCAAUCAGACCUUUCUGUGGCACACUUCUGGUCAGCAGACUGCUCCAGAACCUCCUUCAAGUACUUAAGCAUCUUCACCUAAUUUCCAGAGGAAAAAGAAAAUCUCUACAGUGAGCAUGUAACAAUUUCUUCCUGCCUUAGUUUGGUUUUUUAUUAAAAAAUUGCCUCCCCCAACUAUACCACUGACCCUGCUAUACUCAAUUUCUACAGCCAUGUUCCCUCUUAUGUGUCAGAAUGAGCAGAUUUAUGUUCUUGAGUUUCUGGAUUUAAAAUAAUCUGCAUGUCCAGAGCUGUACACAUGUGUGUCAUGGUGUGUUCUCACUUCUUACUGGUUCU
ensembl:lncRNA